UUAACUAUUAUAUAGUACUCAGACGACACAAAUAUUCAGAGUUUUGGGAUUCUUUGGCGGGCACUCACCAGCCGGAGCCAGUAGCCAAAGCGGCCCGCCAAAGCAACAAAGGUAUAGUAUUCAAGGGUGGGAGAUCUACCCGUGAGGGCAUGAACUCUGUAAUGAUCCUUCCGCAGGUUCACCUACGGAAA
rnacentral:misc_RNA from 1 species